rnacentral:rRNA from 1 species
GAUGAACGCUAGCGGCAGGCUUAACACAUGCAAGUCGAGGGGUAUUGGUUUUCGGACCAAGAGACCGGCGCACGGGUGCGUAACGCGUAUGCAAUCUACCUUUUGCAGAGGGAUAGCCCCAGAGAAAUUUGGAUUAAUACCUCAUAGUAUAGUACUUUGGCAUCAAGGAACUAUUAAAGUCACAACGGCAAAAGAUGAGCAUGCGUCCAUUAGCUAGUUGGUAAGGUAACGGCUUACCAAGGCUACGAUGGGUAGGGGUUCUGAGAGGGAGAUCCCCACACUGGUACUGAGACACGGACCAGACUCCUACGGGAGGCAGCAGUGAGGAAUAUUGGACAAUGGGCGAAAGCCUGAUCC